AACAGGAUUAGAUACCCUGGUAGUCCACGCCGUAAACGAUGUCGACUUGGAGGUUGUGCCCUUGAGGCGUGGCUUCCGGAGCUAACGCGUUAAGUCGACCGCCUGGGGAGUACGGCCGCAAGGUUAAAACUCAAAUGAAUUGACGGGGGCCCGCACAAGCGGUGGAGCAUGUGGUUUAAUUCGAUGCAACGCGAAGAACCUUAUCUGGUCUUGACAUCCACGGAAGUUUUCAGAGAUGAGAAUGUGCCUUCGGGAACCGUGAGACAGGUGCUGCAUGGCUGUCGUCAGCUCGUGUUGUGAAAUGCUGGGUUAAGUCCCGCAACGAGCGCAACCCUUAUCCUUUGUUGCCAGCGGUCCGGCCGGGAACUCAAAGGAGACUGUUAGUGAUAAACUGGAGGAAGGUGGGGAUGACGUCAAGUCAUCAUGGCCCUUACGACCAGGGCUACACACGUGCUACAAUGGCGCAUACAAAGAGAAGCGACCUCGCGAGAGCAAGCGGACCUCAUAAAGUGCGUCGUAGUCCGGAUUGGAGUCUGCAACUCGACUCCAUGAAGUCGGAAUCGCUAGUAAUCGUGGAUCAGAAUGCCACGGUGAAUACGUUCCCGGGCCUUGUACACACCGCCCGUCACACCAUGGGAGUGGGUUGCAAAAGAAGUAGGUAGCUUAACCUUCGGGAGGGCGCUUACCACUUUGUGAUUCAUGACUGGGGUGAAGUCGUAACAAGGUAACC
rnacentral:rRNA from 1 species